CAGCAGCCACGGUAAUACGUAGGUCCCGAGCGUUGUCCGGAUUUAUUGGGCGUAAAGCGAGCGCAGGCGGUUUGAUAAGUCUGAAGUUAAAGGCUGUGGCUCAACCAUAGUUCGCUUUGGAAACUGUCAAACUUGAGUGCAGAAGGGGAGAGUGGAAUUCCAUGUGUAGCGGUGAAAUGCGUAGAUAUAUGGAGGAACACCGGUGGCGAAAGCGGCUCUCUGGUCUGUAACUGACGUUGAGGCUCGAAAGCGUGGGGAGCGAACAGGAUUAGAUACCCCAGUAGUCCCUGUCUCUUAUACC
rnacentral:rRNA from 1 species